UACGAAGGGGGCUAGCGUUGUUCGGAAUUACUGGGCGUAAAGCGCGCGCAGGCGGCUAUCCAAGUCAGUGGUGAAAGCCCGGAGCUCAACUCCGGAACUGCCAUUGAAACUGUUUAGCUUGAGGACGAGAGAGGUGAGUGGAAUUCCCAGUGUAGAGGUGAAAUGCGCAGAUAUCAGGAGGAACACCAAUGGCGAAGGCAGCUCACUGGGACGGUACUGACGCUGAGACGCGAAAGCGUGGGGAGCAAACAGG
rnacentral:rRNA from 1 species